rnacentral:rRNA from 1 species
UACAGAGGUCUCAAGCGUUUGUUCGGAUUCAUUGGGCGUAAAGGGUGCGUAGGCGGCGCGGUAAGUCGGGUGUGAAAUCUUGGAGCUUAACUCCGAAACUGCAUUCGAUACUGCCGUGCUUGAGGACUGGAGAGGAGACUGGAAUUUACGGUGUAGCGGUGAAAUGCGUAGAUAUCGAUAAGGAACACCAGUGGCGAAGGCGGCUCCAC